GGUUCAGAACGUCGUGAGACAGUUUGGUCCAUAUCCGGUGUAAGCGUUAGAGUAUUGAGAAGAGCCUUCCUUUGUACGAGAGGACCGGGAAGGACAAACCUCUGGUGUACCAGUUCUUUAAAAGGGAAACGCUGGGUAGCCAUGUUUGGUUCGGAUAACCGCUGAAAGCAUCUAAGUGGGAAGCCAACUUCAAGAUGAGUACUCUCUUUAUAAGACCACAGCAAGACUAGCUGUUUGAUAGGUAUCAAGUGUAAGCCGUGUAAGCGGUGUAGCUGAGAUAUACUAACAGGUCGAACGAGUU
rnacentral:rRNA from 1 species